UUAGACUCUGAAAGUUUUUCUCUAGAGUAGGCCUGUUAACCCCGACUUCUAGGUGAAGUCGGCAGGUUGGGGGAGGCCUCCGAUCCUGCGUCAGCAGAGACAAACUUCCGGGUCUACAAUCUGAGCUCCGAAGCGGUAAGGGAGAGUUCGGGGAGACCACACGCAGCAGCGAAUCUCAGAAACUCCCCCACCCCCCCGGGGGGCAGAGCAGGAACAGAAGGCGAGUAUCUCUCUGGAGCGUUCUCACGAGCUCAGCACUUCAGUCCCGGUGCAAGACAGGGCUUUGCUGUGGAUCAUCGGCCGCGUGGACCUCUGCAGCUUUCAGGCCUGGCAUCUGUGGAAUACCUGUGAAGGACCAAACUUCAGAGUUCCCUGAAGAAAAGCAUAUCUGAUGUCUUUGUUCCAAGCACUGGAACACGUGGACACGGGCCAACAAAGCCAGCAAUACGCAGAGCUGGAGAGAUGGCUCAACGGUUAAGAAUCUUAGUUUCCUCCCCAGCGCCCAUAAUGGUGGCUCACAACUGUCUGCAACCCCAGGCCCAAGGGCUUCAACAGGCAUGCCCUUUGCGGUGCACAUGUGUGCACACCGGCAAAAUAUUCAAACACAUAAAAAUAAAAAUAAAUCUAAAAAGGCUUUUUAAAGAAAAGGCAA